GUAUUUCCUGAGGACGUUGGGAAGAACUAGAUUAACCAGGCUGACUAAUGCAGUUUCAUGGUAACUUGGUUCUGUGUCUCGUACUUGUCUAGUCUGACACUGUCCCCAACAACUGGUUCAUUGCUCAAAAUCAAUGUCUUCAUUAAUUCCUCAAGAUGUUUGGGAUUUUUUUGUGCUUCUCCUCCAUUUACUGCCCUGCUCACUGAGCUUGUAUAAAACAAUUUUGCAGGAUUGCUAGAAGUUUAAAACAGCUAGUAAUUCUAGCCCUGUCCUUUAAUAACCAGUAAGUGUUUGCUAUAACAUGGCUUAAUUCUUUCUAAACCCAAUUUCCCCUAUCUUUAUUGAAAGACUUAAUGGUUAUAUCUCAUAAUACAGUAUUAUAAACUUCUGAACUCCAAAGCCAUGAUGGCUAAGGGACACUCAUGUUCUUAUUGCUGCUUUUCUGCCUCUUAAAAAAAAAGUUCAGAAGAGCUCAUCUACACAAGUUUUCCUGAGCUGUAGUCACAGGAAGGACAAGGCUGUGAGCAAGAGAACCACACGGAGGAGGAAAACACUAGUGGCAGGAACAUGGUAUUUUCCACCUGGUCUUGUCUCUUUUAUAAGGUGAACUGUCUGCCUUCAGUAGUAUCACCCUCUAGGAAUCUCCACUGAACCCAGCGCUUCAUUUCAGAUGUGGCUGAGGGAAGAAAACCUCAUGCAAAGUGCAAGGCUGACACCUGGAGGGACUGCGAGAGGCAGAUGGGGAGCCUGGAGCAGCCACACAUCCUGCAAAACAGCUGGGUGGGGGAAGCUCAGAGUGGGUGGCAAGAUCCCAGGAUUUGAAAGUAUGCUUUUCUAGUGAAGGGAUGCUCUCAAUAUGCUUCUCUCUCCCCUUUUCCAACAAUAAAGAAAAAUACAGAUUUCUAUUUCAGAUUUUCCAUGCCUGUUUUUAGGAGUAGAGAAGAAACACAGGAGCUAUGACUGUGUCACUUAAUUAUUCACUUCUUCCAUGCUCAGGAAUGUUUGGAUCAAAACUUAUCUUGGUCAAUAAGUUGCUACAAAUAAUGCAAGGUUGUUUUAUCAGUUGGUUGGUCUAACAUAUUUGAACUGCUGCGUAUCAGACUUCCUACUGCUUUGCCAUUUGUGUAACUGCUGAAACACAGACUUGCAGAGCGAUUCCUGCUGUCAAAGCUGCAGCUGGAAGAUUUGGCAUUAGGUAGAGUUUAUUCUUUUCACGUCUGGUUCUGCCAGCACCCACGGUAAGGCUUUUCCUGAAGCUGAUCCUAAUCAAGGAAAGCAAGGCAGCUUCUAGGACAAAGUCUUCAUGCUUUUUGAAGUUUCUUUCCAGCCUGGCAAUCACUCUUUCAUAACACUCUUUCAUAACACUUGUUCAAAUCUUUCACUUGUUCAUAAUCUCUCUUCCCUGACAGGAAUUUUCUCAGUAUUUUAGUGAAUGCUUGUUUUGCUUGAACUAAUUUUAGAAUAUGUUAGUAGCCAAGUUAUUUAUCGUUCUGGCAUUACCAUACACUUAGUAGCUCACAGACCCAAAGAUUAGAUGUCCAUUACAUAUCCUUAAUUCUCUUUGUCAUUGCCAGUGUGGUUCCAAUCAUAAAAUUUGCUUAUCAGUGAGUAGUUGCUUAUGGAAAUGGGAGAAAUAAACCAACAAAAAACAACAAUCAACAGUUAUUUUCAGAACUCUUUUAUGCAUUUCUAUUAUCCCACCUGCACUAUAGCUCCCUGAGUCUCCACGUGUCUUCUCUGGUGUACCUCGAUACUGACUGACUGCAUUUCUUUCCCUUCUAGCCUUCUGACUCCCAAAAUAUCACUGAUGCUCAGUUCAUCCCGAUGAGCAUACUAAACCACCACAAACAUUCUCCACCCAGACCGCCUAAAGGGUGAGCCAUGAAAACGCUUGCUCCAUUCUGGCAAGCAGAAGAGAGGCACAUUAAAAGCUUCAGGAGCAGCACAAGACAUGGGGUGUUCUUGGGAUACUGCUUUUCAGCAGAGACUUGGAGGUCUAAUGCCAUCUCUGUGGCUACUGUUUCUUCAGUGCUUCUCAUUAACUGUGCCACGACUAAUGAGGCAGUAACAUCUUUCUCCCCUCUCCACUCGGACAAUAUUGCCAACGCUGGAUUGUCAGUUAUGCUGAAUUACACUGGAUGACUUGUGGGUACUCAGUGAUGUAGACAAAUAACAGUUCGAGAUCGAGGGUGAACCCUGGCCACUAAACUUGUUUCACUUGUGACUCAUUCCAGACUUAAAACCUGGCUCUUGCUGACAUUUUAUUAACCCAAUUUGUCAUCCUCCUAACCCCCAUUAUCCCACCCAGGCAGAUUAUUUACUUUGAAAAGAUGUGUAGAUAGCUUCCACGCAAAUCCUAAGCAGAGCCAGGUGCCACAGCUAGAUUCUAGAGGGAGUUACAGUCAUGAGACUGUACAUGUGCUGGUAAAAUAACUUCUAUCCUAGAUUCUUCCAAACUCAGUGACAUUCUGUCUGUUUAGAUAUUGUCUGGACUCUCAUUCCUGCAAAGCAGCUUGGCUCCAGUAUGGGGAAGCAUCCACAUUCGUACCUUCAGACCUGUGUGUGUUCCCAAAGGGAUCAGCAAAGAGAAUUCAUCAUUUCCAGUUUGCAAGCUUGAAAAGAGAAAUCCAGGAAGCGCCAAUAAAUCUACUCUGACAGUGGAGUAAAGAGCUGCAAAAGGAGUAACCUGUCAAGAUAAGUGAUUGCUGGGGACACUGGAGGGCACUGAGGUUUAUAGAAAGAAGAACACCGUAAUGAAGCUUUAUUGGGAUGGCAUCACCAAACAAUUGCUGUGAUAGCAACACUCCCAAGCUUGGAAAAAUGCCAGCCUUCCCCCCCCCCCCCCCCAGAACUGACUCAGGCACAAGCCUCCCUGGCUCAGGACUGACACAGAAAAUGGAUGCUUUCUGGAUUGUAAAAUGGCCUCUUUCCGUCUUGGAAAUGACUGAGGAACUGUCCACUUUGGGUUUGGAAAGGACUUGGGAACUGUUUUUUCUCCAUUGAACAAUGACUUUGAAACACAUCUUUGUUUUUCUUGGUUCUGGCUUGAAAAUAAAAGUUCAUUUGGUUGUUUUUUUUUUUUUUUUAAUUGUGUCAUGGUAACACAGAAGGAAGAUUUCUUUACCAGCUCUAAACAGCAGCAGACAAUGGGAAAGGCUUCCAUGGAAUUAGAAACUAAGGAUGGAAGUAGAAGCGAUGAGUCCAUCUCAAAGAUGAAACCCACUUGGUAGAGUAUUUGGGAAAAAUGUAGUAUGGUGUGGGGUUAUUGGGUGUCUAUAUCUCCUUUAUGGGACAGGGAGCAUUAUCCAAUGAACACCAAUCCAGACAUAAUCACUCUAAAAUUAAAAAACAGACAAAUAAAAUAAGCAAGCAAAGAAGUCAAACAACAGGGGGGCUGAACGGACAAAGUCCAGAUUCAAGCACCCUGAACAACAGAAAAUUUCCAGCUCAGAUCCAUCUAGGAUCCCAUGUGUGCAUCCACAGGGUGAGCUAUUGCAGCAGUUACAACCCAGUGGUGCAGGCAGGUGCUCCACGACAUUCCAUGUGCAGAGUCCAACAUUUUUGCUUGGAAGUCUGUCUUUAUAUCUAAAGUGCUGUCUUCUCUCUGUAUAUAAAGUUGUGUUUCUCCAAAUUAUGACUAUUGGGAAACUAACACCACUUUCAGUGUAAUUUAACAUCAUUGUCCAUGGGGGAGAAAUAUAAUCCCAAAUUAAUGUGUAACUGGCUUCUGGGGAACUUCACUGGGAUAAAGGGACUUUUUUUGCCAAAACAGAACGGCAGUGCCAAAUUUUACAUUGUAUUGCAUUGCAUUUUGUCCUCUGCAAUUUGUGUACUGGGACCUGAGAUCAAAAAGUUAUUUUGAGAACAAUAAUGACUUUAAUGUAUUGCCUGCUUUUAUAUGAUUUCUUCCUCCUGACUCUUGUCUUCUGAUAUCAUACUGUAAUAAAUCACAAUGUCAGUUUCAGUUUAAAACAUAAUCAAGCUUCUAGCAGUUCACUAUUAGUAAAGGAAACCAGAAAAAAAUGUGAUAUCUUCUUGGAGAUUCAAAACCUGGGAAAUAAAUACAGAGAAUCUAUAACUGAUUUUUUUUCCCUUUCAAGUCUCAUAAUAUUUAAGUAAAGUUGUUUUUGGAACCCAA